AAGCUAGAAGACAUUUCCAGCAAGAGUUUUCCACGCCACAGAGGAAAGGACAGUGCAGCAAGCUGAUGCCAGUGCUACCAGCGCAUUGCCAGGCAACGCCAUGGUGAGGGGCUUCCGGCCUGUGAAUUACAAGCGCCAUGUGCUGACCAUGGACGACCUGCAGCGCAUUUUACGGCCCCAACUGGCCUCAAUGACCAGGUAUGAACAUGUCGGUACCUUGUCUGGAUACGG